GUAGGUGAACCUGCGGAAGGAUCAUUGUCGAAACCUGCGAAAGCAGACCGCGAACACGUUCAAAACAACACCGGGGCCCCGGAGGUGGGGGCGACCCCCCCGCCGAGGCGCCGACCCCGCACSGYCCCCCACCCGGGGGSCCUUGCGGGCUAACGAACUCGGGCGCGGAAUGCGCCAAGGAAAACGCAAAUGGAGCGCUCCCCUCCCCGYCGAGUCCCGUCCGCGGGGCGAGSCGGGGAGAACGGGACGCCUAUCGAAUGUCUAAACGACUCUCGGCAACGGAUAUCUCGGCUCUCGCAUCGAUGAAGAACGUAGCGAAAUGCGAUACUUGGUGUGAAUUGCAGAAUCCCGUGAACCAUCGAGUCUUUGAACGCAAGUUGCGCCCGAAGCCWUUAGGCCGAGGGCACGUCUGCCUGGGCGUCACGCAUCGCGUCGCCCCCGCUCCCCCCAACCAAGGGGCGAGCGGGGGCGGAGAUUGGCCCCCCGUGCGAGCUCUUUAGCGCGCGCGGUCGGCCCAAAUGCGAAUCCGCCGUCGACGCACGUCGCGACCAGUGGUGGUUGAAUCCUCAACUCGCGUGCUGUCGCGCACCAAUGCCUCGUCGGUCCGGAGACACCGUCGGAACCCAACGGCGCGCGAGCUCACGCUCCGCGCCCACGACCGCGACCCCAGGUCAGGCGGGAUCACCC
rnacentral:rRNA from 1 species